CAGUAGCCGCGGGAAUACGUAGGUGGCAAGCGUUGUCCGGAAUUAUUGGGCGUAAAGGGCUCGCAGGCGGUUUCUUAAGUCUGAUGUGAAAGCCCCCGGCUCAACCGGGGAGGGUCAUUGGAAACUGGGAAACUUGAGUGCAGAAGAGGAGAGUGGAAUUCCAUGUGUAGCGGUGAAAUGCGUAGAUAUAUGGAGGAACACCGGUGGCGAAAGCGGCUCUCUGGUCUGUAACUGACGCUGAGGCUCGAAAGCGUGGGGAGCGAACAGGAUUAGAUACCCCUGUAGUCCCUGUCUCUUAUAC
rnacentral:rRNA from 1 species